CCACACAGCCUCCCACCCUCUUCUGCACUGAGUUCCUCGAGGCGGCGCCCGCACGUGGAGGUGAAGCAAGGGGCCCAGCGAGGACCGGCGGAGGAGCCACGGUCUGGAGCUCAGCGAGCGCAUUGUGCGGACAAACUGAAUGGAGCUGGGAUGUGUGCGCGCUGGCUUGCACGGAUUAGCCGUGCUUUCCCAUGAACUACAAAAGAAUGCCCGAAUCUGGGACGUUUGUCAUCAAGGGGCAGGCUGCUCAGGAUGCAAGAAUCUUGCUAUGCUGCACAAACUGCCUUGAACUCUUGGGCUCAAGUGAUCGUCUGACUUCAACCUCCUAAGUAGCUGGAACUACAGAUGUAGAUGGCUUGUCUACAUAUAUCAACACUGGAGUUGAGGGCUCCUAAAAGGAGCCAAAUUCAAGUCUUGGAACAUUAGUGAGUCAAGUAAUGUCAUUUUCCUGAAAAUAACACAGUGUCAAAAUGAGAGAGAAAAGGAUGAAAAUGACUACAGGAACUGAAGUACCCGUUGAGUCAUGACACCUCAGUAUGCUCUGAAGCUGGGCCUGUCCAAGGCACUGUGGAAGAUUCCAGUUUGAGAAUAUACCACCUGCUUCAGGGUUAAAGGAAGCUUUGGUGUCAGAAGAUUUCCACAGUCUAUUUCCCAUUUAUCUGAAAGAGGACAUUUGUUGGCCUUUAUUAUUCUUAUCUAAGAUAUCUCCAUCUUUAAACGCUCCCCCACCCCCUUAUUUUACUGACAGGAAAGCUGGAAUUUUAUGUCGUCUUCUCCUUUUCUGUGUUUCAUUUAUGAGAACAGAAAAACAGUUGGAGAGAGGCAAGGUAUACCAAUUUUGUAAACUAUUCAUAAGAUUCUCUAAUGUGAUUCUCUCCCACCAAAAUAUGAAAGUUUUCCCUGGAAGCCAUAUUUUUAUUGUAGUUUUUUUUUCCUUCCUAAUGUUUGUACAACCUAUGUUGGAAAGGAUUUCUACAUUAAGCUCCACAAAUUUUUAACAUGACUUCUGACAGAUUUGAUUAAAAAAAAAAAAACAAAACCUGAUACUGUCUUUCAUGUUCUCCUGAAAUAUAUAAAAAAAUACAUUUAAUUAGAAAUCAUUGUGGUUAAAUAUAUGUAAGUAGAGACAUGCAUUGUUUCUCUUAAGAGAUUUUCCUAAUCUUGUAAAAACCAUGACUGUUAAAACUGGGAAAUAAUAUUUUCUCAUUGAUUAGUAUCUGAUUUGGGGGCCUUUUUUCUGGAUAUGGAGAAAGUAUAAAGUGCUUUUGAAACAAUUGCGAAAGUGGAUAUGGGGGAAAAUUAAAAACUUGGAAUUACUAAGCCCUCUCAAAAUAAACAGAUUAGAAAACAAACAAACAAACAAAAAAACUCUUCAAAGUUCUAUGGUUCAUAAUCAUUAUUAAAAAAGGUUUUCCAGUCAUUUCAUUCACUUUAAAAAACAAAGUGGAGCUGGAGGUGUGGCUCAGUGGUAGAGCUCUCCUAUCAUGCCUGAGGUCCUGGGAAAAACAAAGCAGAACAAAACAAAAACCAAAGUGAAUUGUAUUUUAAUUAUGAUGACAACAACAAAAUCAGAGCUAUAAGGAAAAAAAUCUUAAAUGUUUAGCUAUCAGAGUGUGAUUUGAAGAAACUCGGGAAUCUAAGAAUAACAAAAUUUACAAAAACAAUCUUUGAUGAAUUGAACAUUGAGAAGCUAGCUUGCAUUUUAACCUCCUUGAAUCUAGAACUCUCUUUGCUUUUUAUUACCCGUUCUCUUUGGGUCCACUCCCUCAAUAAAGUUGAUUUCCUUUUUAUCAUCUGACUCUAAA